GAAAUGCGAUAAGUAAUGUGAAUUGCAGAAUUCAGUGAAUCAUCGAAUCUUUGAACGCACCUUGCGCUCCUUGGUAUUCCGAGGAGCAUGCCUGUUUGAGUGUCAGUAAAUUCUCAACUCCCUCAGCUUUUUAUGGUUGAAGUGAGCUUGGAUGUGGAGGUCUUGCGGGCCCAAUCUAAUUGGGUCGGCUCCUCUGAAAUGCAUUAGCGGAACCGUUUGCGAUCCGUCACAGGUGUGAUAAUUAUCUACGCCUAGUGGGUUGCUCUCUGUCUUGUUCAGCUGCUAACAGUCCCGUCCAAGGGACAAAAUCAAUACUGAACUUUUGACCUCAAAUCAGGUAGGACUACCCGCUGAACUUAA
rnacentral:rRNA from 1 species